GACUAUAAUUUUGCUACUGCUGUAGUAUAAAUAUCUGAUAUGCAGAUGGUCUUAGGUGACCUCUGGGAAAGGGUUAUUUGAACCCCUGUGGAGUCAUGACACCCACUUUGAACAACCACUGUACUAGAGUCUCACCUGGGCUACUGCGAAGACAGCUAGUAGUGGUGUCUGGGACCUUAUUUAGAAAUAGGGUCUAUACAGAUGUAAUCAAGAUGAGGUCUAGACACUUUAAUAUGGCGGUUGUCCUCAUAAGGGAGGCAGACAGACACAAGGAGAGGAGGCAGUAUGAAUAUAUUCAAAGUCUUCUUAUGAGGACGUUAUUGAGGCAAAAGUUGGAAAGCCAGGUCUACAAACUUGGAUGGCUAAGGCUUUCUGGCAACAGAAGUUGAGGCAGGCUCAGAAUAGUUCCUCCCCAACCCCCCAGAGAGGGUAUAGCUCUGCCAAUGUGAUUUCAGACUGAGUUUCUAAGCCCCCAAGAGAGCCUUCUGUUGUUGCAACUACUGUCAGGCUCAGGUGGGCAAGCUGUGGGUGGAUAUAGCUUGCCAUAUCUGAAACACCCUGAUGAUGCUCUACUGAGAGGCGGGGCCCGAGGAGAGGCAGGGCCUGAGGAGAUCAGGUCCUUGAAAAUAAGGUCCCUCUCUAAUGGACUGCUGGAGGAUUUCUGUCACAUCAGCUAUGGUUGCUAUUCUGCCCACUGUGGCCACACAGUCUUGGACUUCCUGCUCUUGGAACCACAAACGAAAUGAUGAGACUGCCGUCCCACUGCUUUUCAGUCUUUCGGCGGAGAUCUAGUGUCAGACUCGUACCCUCACCCCCAGACAAGGUAUCAGUUUUGGGCAUUCUGUUGCAGCAACAAGAAACAGAGCGAGAUAUGUGCCAUUCUGCUGGCCUCCUCAGGCCUUGUCACAUCCCCAUAGUGCAUCUUGUACAAGAGACCCAACCACACUCUCCAGAAUCCCCAAGUGUCCUGAAUUUGAAUGACUCCUCUAAGCACACAUCCUUAAUUUCCCGGGAAGGUUCAAUUCGAGAAAAGUGUGGAUCGCAGUGAUUGUUUUCACACAGAGCAGAGACAGCAGCUGCUCAUGCCUGCAAAUGUUCCCCCUUCUGGUGACAGCAACUUGUGAUGACUAGUGGCUUACAGACUGAAAACACACAGAAAAAAAAAAAAGAGGAGUGUGCACGUGGGUAAAGACCGCACACGCUUCUAGCCAGCUGGAAGCAUUAUUUCCUAUAGGAUUUGUCUCUAGGUCUUAGUAAUGUUUCAGUGAGGAGGUAAUAGUUCUCCCGUGGGAAAAGCACCCCUGUACUCUGAUGGGAUUAGGGAGAGAGCAGCGUGUGCUUGAGUAGUCCUGGCUAGCCUGGAACCCAGGAUCCUACUGCCUUAGCCUCCAGCCUUCUGAGAUGUCAAGCUUCCACCUCCUACCUCCACCUGGAUCUCUUCUCUCUGCCCCCCGCAUGAGUCAUGCUCAGAUAUGAAGUUUCUUUUGCAGACAGGUAUUUAGAGAACAGAUCCCUUCCCUGUGGGUCUGGAGGGCUCUCUGGGCAUCCCCUGGAUACUUAUGGACAAGUUGGAAAAGUGAGCGCCAGACAAGGAGUCAUAACUCAGAGUCUGAGGUCUGGUCAAGAAGGGACAGGUAGCAGGUUCCUAAGGAACCUGUGUGACAGGGAGAACAGCUAGAUUACUAAGAAUGCAAUAUGUGAGCUCUGGAGCCAGCCACUCUGGGUUCAAGUUCGUGUUGCUUACUGAUUACGUGCCCUUAGGCAUUUAACUUAAUUUCUUUUCGCCAUAUUCUCCAAACCUCUUAAAGGGACUCUUCUGCUAAACCUCAUCGUGUGGGCAUUGCAGCGGUUAAAAGAGUUAGUUCAAGUAAAGCAUCUGCGGCGCUGACACUCGUGUUGCUAAACACAUCAUACAGAGCCAAGGUGACCUCUUGUCAACGAUGCUGAGAAAUCACCUCCAAAAACCAAUGGCAUAGAAGAGUCACCAUCACUGCCAAAGGCUGUGGGGAGGCGUGUGCCUCUCUUAGGUGCCUGUGGCUGAGGAGGCUUGGCCGUUCCAGGGUGGGCUCGGCUAGGGAAAGAUCUCCUCUAAGAAACGUUUUCUUCUUCCUGAGGCCAGCUGGCAUGGUGACAGGAUGUGUUUAAGAAGAAGUCCUCUUGACAACAGGAUGCUAUUAAAACCCUCCGAGUGGAAGCAGCCUGGGCAAGGAGAACACGCACCAGGCAGCUCUGGGAGCCCAACUGAUGGUCUCCUUCUCCUGGGCAGAAGCAGAGACUAGAAAAUUCUGCUUAAUAGAUAAGUGACCACAAGAGAAUUGGGGGGUCUGAACUGCUAUCUACUUGUGCUUUGGUCAUUGCACGGCCCUGACCACCAGCCCCUAAUUCUAAUGUGUCAGCUAAAAAUCAGACAGAAAACCUUUUUAUGAGGGGAUAGGCUUGUUGAUGACCUUCCCGCCUUUGUUUUGUUUUUUCCUCCCAACAGGGUCUCCCAUAUACCAAAGGGGUGGCUUAUAACUAGCAGGCUUCCCGUCUUGUUCUCUCAAGUUCUGGCAUUGUAGGCGUGCGUUACUAUGCCGGGAUGCUUUAAAACUGUUUUUGAAAACAGGAUCUCACCCUGUAGCUGGUCUGGAACUCACUGUGACUCACGCUCCUGUCUGCUUUCCUGAGUGUUUGAAUUCUAACGCACACGUCACCAUGCUUGGUCCUCGAACCUUUCCGUAUUAGCGACCACACUUACAGAUGUGGCCUAGGAUACACACGCACGCAAAGUGUGGCUGAUGAAGGCUUCAGGAAAUAGUGUCACAUCCAAGCAGAAUGCUGGUGAGGGCCUCUGGCACCGACAUCACUGGGGCGCUGAAUCUCAGUCUAGGCUGAGAAAGCCUGAUCACUUCAAAUGUGUGGUGCUUGGUAAGGACGUGGGGAUGCUGUCCCCAUGAAGCCUUUCAAAACCCUCAGACUUCAUCCACGUCUGUAGCUGCAUUGAAGAAAGUGCAUAGAAGAUGUAGCCAGGUGACACAGGGUUUCUGAUUUAGGGUGUGUCACUCACUGUAGCUUGAAAACCUCAGCGGGUUACUAAUUUCUCCUGUGCAGGAUUCCAAGACUACUGAAUCCGCACCCCCAUUUCUUUGGAAAUAAGCCGACCAGAGCUUUCAAAAGGGGACUCACCUAAGUUAUUGAGGAAGGAGCUUCAGAGGCUCCAGUAGCAGGAGAUUGUGACAGUGGCCAGAGUCUGAAUGGAGGCCGUGGGUUGAUGAUGACUGUCUAACUUUGUACAGUGCAAGACGGGAAAAUCAAGGCACCCAUCAAAGGAGAACCCAUGAAUGCUCAGGUAGGGUUUUAGGGUAAGGACAGCUCCAGUUUUCUUGGUGUUCCAGUUGGUGCUCCCCCGCCCCUUUGUUUUAUUAAAAAUUUUCCCCCUGCAGGCAUGUUGGAUUCCCUAGAACUGGAGUGAACUGCCCUGUGCAGGCUGGGAAUUGAACCUAGGUCCUCUGGAAGAGCAGUCCCUGCGCUUAACCUCUCAGCCUUUUCUCCAGCUCCAAGUUGCUGCUGUUUUGGAUCUCGGUUUUGUCAUCCGUCAGAUGGGUUUUUGUGACUCAUAUACAAAAUGAGUAGCUUAGAAAUGACGUGAGUUUGUGACACAGAAGCCCACUGGAUCAGCCUCCUUCUCUUAUGAGCUUCAGGAGUUAGGAUUAGGAAUUAGGUGACUGCAGUAAGUCUCACCCAUGUUCCCAGGGGGCAUCUAAGUCUCCUAAUCUGGAGGGAGCCACGAUUACAACCCAUGACUUCUGUCCCUCACCCAUGUCCUGGCAGACUGUGCUGGGUCAGGAUUUAGCAGUGCUUCAUGAGGCUAUGUAAGGCCUAGUCUGUGUCCAAAGAGAAAGAGAGACUUAUGUGGCGCUUCUAACUUUGUGAUUUGUGUGUCUUCAAAGCCCUCCACAAAAACAAAACAAAACAACAAAGACGCCAAAGAAACAAGCAAACAAGAAAACCUAAGUAAAUGUCUGAUCUUGAGGAAAGUAGAGGCCCCUGUACAGAACGUUGCUUGUUCUUGGAAUUGUUUAUAAAGACCCCUCACAUUCAGUACCUUGGUGUCCUGAUUCACACAGGGCCCAGCCAAGCCUCCACACUGUCCACAAGUCUUCAUUCCACUUGAACUCAGGUGGAUGCAGAGAGCCGGGCAAUGCCAAAUCAUAUGUUUAAACAGUUGAGAGGAAACCAGACUCAGUAAGGAUCUAGGGCCCUGGAUUUAGCUGGGGUGAUUUUUCCUUCUCUGGGAUUUCCUGUCCCUUUUCUGGAUGUUUCUAUCUACCCCACGAUCCUUGGCAGUUGGCGUAAAGGCCGUCAGCACUGCGGUGAAAGAAAGCCUUACACAGACUUGGGCUUAGCUGUUAAAAUAUCACCCACUGCUGAUUUGUAUGGAUCCAACACUAGGUUUAUGGAUGUAGGCUCCCAGCCUCAUUCAGUCUCAUCUUUCAAGGGAAAAGGACCAAGCAGUAAGAUGUCUUUAAAGGCACAUCCACGCCCAACAGCCACUUAGGGGUGCAAGCCACAGGGACAGUAGAGCUGCUCAGGGAGACAAAAAGAGGUGCAUCCUUAAGGGACAUAAAAUGGGCGAACCCAAAGACCCCCUGCAACGUUUUUAGAUGGCAGUUAAAACUUAACACAUUUUAAAAUGUAAAUUAUCUGGUAUUCUCAAUUGCACAGGAUGGGGGGAGGCAGCAAGAAAUAGACAAUGGGUUAGGAUUAGAUAACUUACCUAGGGCGAACACUCCAGGAAGUUUGUGUUGCUCUGGGCCUCUAGGUUGUUACUCUUUAGCUCAAAUCUAAAUCUUUAUCUUCUAUUACAGCCGAGAGGACAUUUCUUCUACUUAGUCAUUUUUACAGUUGUAAUUUUUGCCGCUUUCAUCAAAUAGAGCUGGUUAGAUUGGCAGCUCUUAGCACUGAGAUGAAACUACUGGGGAGGGCCCAGUGGGUCCCGUUUUGUUUAUUCUAACAGUGCAGUCUUUGAUCUAAACAUAUUUCCUGGGGUCUGGACCAGAUGACCUAAUUCCUGUCUUAUCCUUUUCCACGUCUCUGUGCAUGUCAGAUUGCUGCCUUACCGAGGGACCCUUUGAAUUCACUUUAUGUCUCUUCCUCACUUUGUUACCCCUCUCUGAGGCUUGUUUCACUUGGGUGGAGCGUAUCCCAGCAAAGAACCGACGGCUGUGUUUUUCUAACUGAACUGCUAAGUUUUAACGGAGUGGGAGAGCUUUUCCUAUUUUUCUUUUAUACAUCUCUUUCUUGACAUUCGCAACAUGCCAAGAACAAUAAGCAAAUAGCCCUACUGCUACAAGUCCACGUUGACUGCAAAUCACUUCGGACUUUCUGUUUGAACACUUUAAAAAAAAAACAAAUAUAUAACUUUAAAAUGCUGUUGCCUCCUCUUGCCCUAACAGCCGUUCGUUAGACUUAAUCUGACCUGAGAAGCGUGGAUUAUGGGGAAAAAAACAAAGCCCCAAACUGGCUUCCGUUUAUCUCCAAUUGAUCUUUGAGGCCCUUCCUUCCAGCUCCCUACCCCCUCCUUGCAGACUCCCCGCUUGAGGAGCUUUGGGUAGCUUCCGCCAGCAAAGGUGGUAGCUUCUUUUCCUACUCAGGUCAUUGUCAAUCAACUGAUUUUCCAAGGGUGUUUUCCAGGAAGGGAGGCCCUUACUGGGGGAGGAGAGGAAGCAGAGUAGGGGAAAGGGUGGGGAAACUCAUAAAGGAAUAAGAGGGAAAGAUACGGGGUUAAAAAGCAGAUAUAAGUCCUUAAAGUUGGUAAAUAUCGGGCCAUUGGCACCGCUGAACUUUGAGGUAUAUUUACAAUUCACAUUUAAGAAAAAAAAAUGUCACCUCAGUGAGUAUUUUUUGGUUCAAAACUUUUGUGAACUUAACUGUCUACAGCGAUCUUUCUUAGUCCAGACAACCUGGUUUCAACUAGGCUGUCCCUCAAGUUCCAAAAGGGAAAAGGACGCUCCGGUGGCAUAGUGGGAGAGAAAAGAUGGGCCAGGCUAGGACGCAUAAUCUGCCGGAACCCACUCAGUUGCUUUGUGAAUAUCAAUCCAUUUCUCUUCGGCUGGGCUGAGCUCAGAUCACGCGUGUUUAUCUCUGGGUUACGGGCUCUUUCUGGGUUUGGAAUAGACGUAGAGGGGAAUGGACAGGUGGUGAUCGAUACCUUACAAUGAUCAUCAGUCGAUACAGAAAGGUCGGGACAAAAGGCGGGAGGAGGGGCGCAGAGACACCCGGACUGCGAUCUUAUCAUCACCAGGGCCGAGGUGGCCUCCGGAAAAACCUAAUUGAACCCAAAGCAACUUUAGCUCGCCUUAGCCUACUUGCAGAAGGCGCUAGAAGGGAGGUUUGAGGGAUAGAGGGGAAAGCGCCCGCCCCUGUCCCCUCGCGCGCAGCCCUGUGGGUAUCCCGCGGACGGCGGGACCUGGGGACACCGCAGGACUGCGGCCACCGGGGAGCGCAGGCCCAGCUGCAGCGCGGUGACCCGGGAGGGUGGCAAAGGCGCUGUCACUGCUUGGCCCCUCGUGGUGGCCGCAGCCCGGGGAUAUCCCCUACGUCCCCAGACUUCGUGCCAGGGCUGGGAAAGACGCCCCUCCUGGACCGACGAGACCUACUAGACCGUCGCCUCUGGGACAGAACAGAACAUCUGGCCUCUUAACCCUGUGCUCACUCCUGGAGCGGGAGUGGGGGAAGGCUGCAGGCAGAGUGGCGGGAGGUGAACGGGAACCAAAGCAUCUGAUCUGUUCCCUCACUCUGUCCACCAUCUCUGACUUGGGGGAUGAGGGGAGGGGGCUCGCCCUGCGCGGUCAGGACAGAGAACAAGGGCUACCCUCCGUCCCCGAACAUCACCGCUGAACCUGCCGCCUAAUCAGCGUUUUAAGCACCCUCGCGGCUCCUGGACUUUGGAGUGUAGGGACAAACCAGUGGCCUUGGACUAGCCCAGGCCUGCUGGGAUCUUCUGCUGGAGUCGCCCAGGUUGGCCCUGGUUCAUCAGCCUCACCUGGGCACAGCCAGUGAGAUUCAUCACCUCUCAAAGACAAAGUGAGUUCCCGUCGACCCCCUGGGCAGACAACUUCCACCCUGCCUAUUGCCACUCUGUGGCAAUCGGGCUCACAGAUGUAAAACAUGCCCUUGGAACAAGGAAGAAGACUAAGGUUAACUUGGAUGAUGAACUGUUUCAAGUUGCUCCUACAGACCUGUAUAAUAGAUUUUUUUGGUGUGUGCUGUCCUUUUAAAUAUGUAUGUGCUUCUAAAUGCCUAAAAGACUAAUUAAAUAAAGGAAAAUGUUCACCUCC
rnacentral:sRNA from 1 species